AAAGUCGUAACAAGGUUUCCGUAGGUGAACCUGCGGAAGGAUCAUUAACAAAUUCAAAAACUGACGUCCCAUCCGAGGUCUGUCUAACAACAACCUUGGAUGGUGUCUAACUACACACACUUUGAUUGACAACACCUAGUGAUAACAUCUAGUUAAACAACUUUUAACAAUGGAUCUCUUGGCUCUU
rnacentral:misc_RNA from 1 species